rnacentral:rRNA from 1 species
AUUUCUUCGGAAUGACGAUUUAGUGACUGAGUGGCGGACGGGUGAGUAACGCGUGGGUAACCUGCCUUAUACGAGGGGGAUAACAGUUAGAAAUGACUGCUAAUACCGCAUAAGCGCACAGGAUUGCAUGAUCUGGUGUAGAAAAACUCCGGUGGUAUAAGAUCGGACCCGCGUCUGAUUAGCUGGUUGGUGAGGUAACCGGCCCACCAAGGCGACGAUCAGUAGCCCGACCUGAGGAGGGUGACCGGCCACACUGGGACUGAGACACGGCCCAAACUCC